rnacentral:rRNA from 1 species
AGUGAACGCUGGCGGUAGGCCUAACACAUGCAAGUCGAACGGCAGCACAGUAAGAGCUUGCUCUUACGGGUGGCGAGUGGCGGACGGGUGAGGAAUACAUCGGAAUCUACUUUUUCGUGGGGGAUAACGUAGGGAAACUUACGCUAAUACCGCAUACGACCUACGGGUGAAAGCAGGGGAUCUUCGGACCUUGCGCGAUUGAAUGAGCCGAUGUCGGAUUAGCUAGUUGGUGGGGUAAAGGCCCACCAAGGCGACGAUCCGUAGCUGGUCUGAGAGGAUGAUCGGCCACACUGGAGCUGAGACACGGUCCAGACUCCUGCGGGAGGCAGCAGUGGGGAAUAUUGGACAAUGGGCGGAAGCCUGAUCCAGCCAUACCGCGUGGGUGAAGAAGGCCUUCGGGUUGUAAAGCCCUUUUGUUGGGAGAGAAAAGCAGCAGGUUAAUACCCCGCUGUUCUGACGGUACCCAAAGAAUAAGCACCGGCUAACUUCGUG